rnacentral:rRNA from 1 species
UGACCGCUGGCGGCGUGCCUAAUACAUGCAAGUCGAGCGAACGGACGAGAAGCUUGCUUCUCUGAAGUUAGCGGCGGACGGGUGAGUAACACGUGGAUAACCUACCUAUAAGACUGGGAUAACUUCGGGAAACCGGAGCUAAUACCGGAUAAUAUUUUGAACCGCAUGGUUCAAAAGUGAAAGACGGUCUUGCUGUCACUUAUAGAUGGAUCCGCGCUGCAUUAGCUAGUUGGUAAGGUAACGGCUUACCAAGGCAACGAUGCAUAGCCGACCUGAGAGGGUGAUCGGCCACACUGGAACUGAGACACGGUCCAGACUCCUACGGGAGGCAGCAGUAGGGAAUCUUCCGCAAUGGGCGAAAGCCUGACGGAGCAACGCCGCGUGAGUGAUGAAGGUCUUCGGAUCGUAAAACUCUGUUAUUAGGGAAGAACAUAUGUGUAAGUAACUGUGCACAUCUUGACGGUACCUAAUCAGAAAGCCACGGCUAACUACGUG